GAGAAAUCUAGAGUGAGAGAGAGAGAUAGGAAACGUGAGAGAGAAGGAGAAGGAAAAGAGAAAGAAGAGCAGGCUAAGGCUUGAGGUCCUAAGGUUUGAAUUUCACAAAAGCAUAGUGAAGGUGUUGGGCUAGGGUUUUGACCUACAAGGGUUGUUCAAAGAUGAUGGUCAUUUGUUUUGGGUACUUGAUUUAUAGCAAGAGAGAGUAUUCUCGAUCUCUCUGUCAUCGCACCCUCACCUCACCCUCACUCUCGGUCUGCUCUCCGAUCUCUCAGACGCCGAAGCCCAGAAAUUGAAGGAGUAUCUCUUGGAAAUUUGGUCACUGGUAUAAUACAAUAUUGUGGCAUCAAGGUAUUUAUUUUUUAAUUAUGUUAUUGGUUUAAUUAAUAUGUGAAUGUGUGUACAAAGAGAGAUGUGUUUAGUGAUAUAUUUAUAUAUGUGUAUAAAAUUGUAGUAUGUGUUAGUAUUUAAAUUUGAUUGAUAAUAUGUAUAUUGUGAAUGUUCUGCGAAUUUUCUGAGUGUUUUUUGUAGGGUUUUAAAUUUUUGGGAUAUGUUAUAAUAGAGAUGUUAUGCUGUCAAAAUUUGGUAGAGUUAGAGGA